CUAGAAGAAGCACAAAAAUAACUCCACUUUGGUCUGUAUUCUGUGUUGCACAGAAAGGACAUCAGUUUAAAUCUUAAAAUGAAUAGUGUUGACUUUUUUUUUUUUCCUCUUGGAGAUUUUUUCUUCAGAACUGUUGAGAGAUGCCAGAGUCCAGUCUAUGUUACUCUUUUUCUGCAGAUCACCUGAAAAUAGGGAAGGCCUUCCUCAUGA